GACGAACGCUGGCGGCGUGCUUAACACAUGCAAGUCGAACGGAAAGGCCCUGCUUUUGUGGGGUGCUCGAGUGGCGAACGGGUGAGUAACACGUGAGUAACCUGCCCUUGACUUUGGGAUAACUUCAGGAAACUGGGGCUAAUACCGGAUAGGAGCUCCUGCUGCAUGGUGGGGGUUGGAAAGUUUCGGCGGUUGGGGAUGGACUCGGGGCUAAUCAGCUUGUUGGGGGGGUAGUGGCUUACCAAGGCUUUGACGGGUAGCCGGCCUGAGAGGGUGACCGGCCACAAUGGGACUGAGAUACGGCGCAGACUGCUACGGGAGGCAGCAGUGGGGAGUAUUGCACAAUGGGCGGAAGCCUGAUGCAGCAACGCCGCGUGCGGGAUGACGGCCUUCGGGUUGUAAACCGCUUUCGCCUGUGACGAAGCGUGAGUGACGGUAAUGGGUAAAGAAGCACCGGCUAACUACGUG
rnacentral:rRNA from 1 species